rnacentral:lncRNA from 1 species
CACGAACUCUGAAGUCAGAUGUGGGCUGAAACUACAGCCUUAGCACUAACCAGCCGUGUGACCUUUUGAACAUCACAUAGCCUCUCUGUGCCUCAGUGUCUUAUCCAUAAAAUACAGAUACUGAAACUUUCCAGUUGUGAUGAUUGAGCAGGAUAGUGUGCAGGAAGAUUGUGCCAUGGUAUCCAGUAGCCACUUAUUUAUACAUAUUUAUACCCUGCCUCAUUCCAUCAUCAUUACCUUUACUAUGAUCAUCCUCCUCAUCACUUUUAUGGUUAACAAACCUCCAGCAUUUAUCAUCAAACUCAGAAACCCUGGGAGAACCACUCGCUGCCUCUCAGGUCAGCAGGGUUAACGAAGGUAUCUGGCUGGAGCAGAGGAUUCUGGGAGUGCCACCUGGGAGAAGGACAAUCUUUACAGUUAAUACUAAGGAUCAGGUGGCUGCCUUGGUGCGUCCUUGAAACAGCAGCAGUUGACACACUCAAGCAUGGUCUGGACAAGAGGACCCUCAGAGAGGAGGUCAGGAGGAUGGCAGGGUCCAGGUUCCAGGAGCAAGCCAAGGCCUGGCCCAUUCAACCUUCCGCAGCUGAUGACAUUCUUCUGGCAUGGGAGCAGCGCCAGCUGAGGGGCUGCCAGCACCUCCUAUCAGCCCUGACCCUUCCACUCUGGGGGGAGGGAACACACUCUCAGGUCACUGUUGGCCUCCAAGGAUCAACUGAGGUAAGGAGCCACUUCCCUCUUCUGGGACCCUCCUGCCCUCUCAGCCCUUUCCUUCCACUCUCCAUCCCCCAUGCUGCCCAGGCUGCCUAGGCUGCCUCUAGCUGC